rnacentral:pre_miRNA from 1 species
CAAGUACUCCCUUUGUCCGGAAUUACUUGUCAUCAAAAUGGAUGUGUCUAGAAUUAAAAUACAUCUAGAUACAUUCAUUUCAAUGACAAGUAUUUUCGGACGGAGGGAGUACAAA